AGAGUUUGAUUCUGGCUCAGAACGAACGCUGGCGGCGUGGAUAAGACAUGCAAGUCGAACGAGAGAAUUGCUAGCUUGCUAAUAAUUCUCUAGUGGCGCACGGGUGAGUAACACGUGAGUAACCUGCCCCCGAGAGCGGGAUAGCCCUGGGAAACUGGGAUUAAUACCGCAUAGUAUCGAAAGAUUAAAGCAGCAAUGCGCUUGGGGAUGGGCUCGCGGCCUAUUAGUUAGUUGGUGAGGUAACGGCUCACCAAGGCGAUGACGGGUAGCCGGUCUGAGAGGAUGUCCGGCCACACUGGAACUGAGACACGGUCCAGACACCUACGGGUGGCAGCAGUCGAGAAUCAUUCACAAUGGGGGAAACCCUGAUGGUGCGACGCCGCGUGGGGGAAUGAAGGUCUUCGGAUUGUAAACCCCUGUCAUGUGGGAGCAAAUUAAAAAGAUAGUACCACAAGAGGAAGAGACGGCUAACUCUGUGCCAGCAGCCGCGGUAAUACAGAGGUCUCAAGCGUUGUUCGGAAUCACUGGGCGUAAAGCGUGCGUAGGCUGUUUCGUAAGUCGUGUGUGAAAGGCGCGGGCUCAACCCGCGGACGGCACAUGAUACUGCGAGACUAGAGUAAUGGAGGGGGAACCGGAAUUCUCGGUGUAGCAGUGAAAUGCGUAGAUAUCGAGAGGAACACUCGUGGCGAAGGCGGGUUCCUGGACAUUAACUGACGCUGAGGCACGAAGGCCAGGGGAGCGAAAGGGAUUAGAUACCCCUGUAGUCCUGGCAGUAAACGGUGCACGCUUGGUGUGCGGGGAAUCGACCCCCUGCGUGCCGGAGCUAACGCGUUAAGCGUGCCGCCUGGGGAGUACGGUCGCAA
rnacentral:rRNA from 1 species